AUGCUUCUAAGAUUUUAAUCACCUAGGGAUCUUGUUAAAAUGCAGAUUCUGAUUCAUGGGCCUGAGAUUCUGCAUUUUUAGCAAGCUCCCAAGUGAUGCUGAUGCUGCUUGGUCUGU
rnacentral:pre_miRNA from 15 species